UACGGGGGGGGCAAGCGUUGUUCGGAAUUACUGGGCGUAAAGGGCUCGUAGGCGGCCAACUAAGUCAGACGUGAAAUCCCUCGGCUUAACCGGGGAACUGCGUCUGAUACUGGAUGGCUUGAGUUUGGGAGAGGGACGCGGAAUUCCAGGUGUAGCGGUGAAAUGCGCAGAUAUCAGGAGGAACACCGAUGGCGAAGGCAGGUCUCUGGGCAUUAACUGACGCUGAGGAGCGAAAGCAUGGGGAGCGAACAGG
rnacentral:rRNA from 1 species